UAAAACUAGGGCUUUUUUUUUCAAGAACGUCUAACCUCUUAUUCUUCUCCUCCGUCUCCCUCAAAAACCCUAGUUUCCAUCUCCAUUAAUCUUCCCUCACCGGCGAUCUCAUCUAAAACCUCCUUCUUACGAUCCUCAUCUUAUAAUUCUUAAACCUCGCUUCAACGCCCCUUCUCACAAAAUCAAAAAAAUCGACAAAGAACUAGGGCUCUUUACCCCUGGAAUCGGACCUCACAAAAUCCUUCAUAGAUUCGACGAUUGGGGCUCUGUGACUACUUAUGCUCACAACAACAAUGAUUUUAAGGUUUUUGUCCCCGAAGGGAACAAUGGUGAAGGUAUUACAUGAGAUGGUUGACUUCUCGGGCGUCGUCACCUGUUUCGUGCGUAAGGAGGGUUAGCGGAUGAAGAGGUGGAAUAUUUUUUAAACAUGAGGCUGAAGAAAGAGAAGAAGAUUAAACGAUGACAACUAUUAAAAGGGCACUUCAGGAUGACAAUGAACCAAAUUCUGUUCAAAUUAUUUAUAAGUUAUUAUCAAGGAAGUGCAAAAAGAAGCUUGAAGAACUGUUACAUCAAUGUUAACAGAUUUUGGGCUGUCAAAGGUUGGCCUAAUUAACAGUACAAAUGAUGUAUCUGGUCCAGCAGUGAGUGGCACAUCACUAUUGGGUGAUAAUGGGACUCAGUCAUCUCUCUCAUCUCCAUUUAUGUCUGCCACUGAGACUCAGCAAGAAAGACACAAAAACCGCUCUGCUGUUGGACAACUCCACACUAUUUGGCACCCGAGAUUCUUCUGGGAAAUGGACAUGGUACAUCAGCGGAAUGGUGGUCUGUUGGUGUAAUACUAUUUGAGCUGAUUGUUGGCAUUUCUCCAUUCAAUGUAGAGCACCCUCAGAUGAUAUUUGACAACAUUCUCAGCCGUAACAUACCCUGGCCUGCAGUGCCUGAUGAAAUGAGCCCUGAUGCCCAGGAUCUCAUUGAUCAAUAAGAGAAACUUUUUAAUUAUCAUCUUUAAAAUUUAAAUACAUUUUUCUGAGUUCAAUCAUUGUGCAGAUUAUUGACAGAAGAUCCUAACCAGAGACUUGGAGCUAGGGGAGCAACUGAGGUGAAACAUCAUCCGAUUUUUAGGGAUAUUAACUGGGAUACCCUUGCCAAGCAAAAGGCUGCAUUUGUGCCUUCAUCAGAGAGUGCACUGGACACAAGUUAUUUCACAAGUAGGUACACAUGGAAUAACUCAGAGCAGGUAUAUGCAGCAAGUGAAACAGAGGACUCUAGACUGAUGAUUGAUAGCUUUAUUUCAGUUUGUAUGGCCACAAGUGGUAUUAAUCUUUCAAAGACUGAUGCUGUAUUCAACUCUUCCUCCUACCAUGUUCCGCCACGACCCUAUUAUACCUGCACUACUUACCUUCUUCUAUGUUUUAUUAAUCUUUCAGAGACACGACUUUUAUACCAGACACCGAAGAUGAGAACUCGGUCAAAUCAGGACAUUGAUUUUUGGUUGGGAUUUAAAGGCCUGCCAACAUCUCCUCCACCUGAAGAGAUAAUCAUAAAUUAAUAGGGAUUCGUGUUGUUUUUUAAUUUAACACGUCUAUUUUUACAGUUUACGAAUUUCCUUGUUGAAUUUCUAAUUUUAAUUAUGAAUUUUCAACAUAUUUUUUUUUUAUUUUGUACUGGAUAUCAAGCAGGAGGUUUUUGGUGGUUGAGUACUUUUAAAAAUAGCUAAACAAAGGGACCAAAAAUCAAGAGGAGGAUUUGAAGACCCAUAAUGACUAAAAUGCCCUUUGCUUUCCAAUAGAAUACCCACCUGCAGUUGAUUGGUAACCAAUUCGAUUUUUGAUUUUUCAGUUUUUCAUAAUUGUGUGCUUAUUGAUGUGUUUAGGUUAGGGCUUCCAAUUCAAUUCUGGGCUUUGUCUCUACAUUUCUAUUUAACAGUUUCAAGCAAACGCACAAGAAACAGAGCAUCUUUCCUAUCACUUUUAAGGUGUACAAUGUUGGAAAGGAGGCAACAAUUGUAUUGCUACUUAAAGGUGAUUGUUCUCUUGGUUACCUCCAUAUCGUGUAAGCCUUUAACCGUCUUCUACUAUUAAUCUGUUACCCAUCUCCCUUUUCUCUGUAUCCUUUUACCAUUCUUGAGAAAUUGACACCUUGUCUGACUUCAGACCUAGAGCUUAAACAAUUAUUUCUUCAAGAUCAAUACUUCAACUCACACCCAUUUCAAUUAGCAGCCUCCAGUACUCGAGGAAACUUGAAGACAUGAUCAAAUCAUAAAUGAGUUGCUCAAUGAACUGAUCCUUAUUUGGAGUUUUUUACUUGAAUUUUGUUUUACAAAGUUGAGUUUCUUUAUUCGUUAUUUAUGGUUAUGUUUUUCAAUUUGGAUCAUCAGUUGAGAUUAGUUAAUUGCUUUAAUUAAUUUAAUAAUUCAUCAUUGAAAUUAGAAUCUAGAUAAUCGUUUGUUGUUUGUUUACUUAUGUUUGACUGAUGAUUAAAGUAUGUGUGUGUUUGUACUUAUUCAAUUAGAGAUGAAUUAUGAUAAGUUUCAAUUUGGUUUUUAUUAAUUAUGACUUUUUUGGUGGACACCUGCUUUUAUGCUCACUAGAGAACCUGAUUUUAAUUGAAGUUCUACAGAAGAUGUGCUAGAAUAUUUUAGGCAACAAAGAUAGGAAGCUGAUCAUAUCCUAAAAGUGAAGGUUCUUAAUUUUAUGGAAAGUUAACAGAUCAUACAAGUAAAAGCACAUCAUCUGUAUAGGUGCAGUUGAAGCAUGUGCAACCUAAAAUUUAUAUGCUACAAGAUCACAAGGACGAACUGCAGAUGCUGAUAUGCAGAAUUUGAAUUAGGAAAAGGAAUUCCAAUUUCUCCUUUUAUAAGGUGGAGAAGAACUAAGAAUAAUAAAAGCAAGAAAGAAAGAUAUAUAUGUUUUCAUUGUUUUAUGGACUGUGGAAAUAUCUGGUUAGUAAGACAGAGUUUCAAUUACUGAUUCUGGGAAUUGACAAGGCUGGAAAAAUAACCUUACUGGAGAAAUUGAAGACACAAUAUUCAAGCUUAGAAGGCCUUCCCCCUGAUCAAAUUCUUCCUACUGUUGGAGUCAAUAUUGGUCGAAUAGAAACUUCAAAUACAAAACUUGUGUUUUGGGAUCUUAGAGGUCAAGUAUUUACAACCAAUCCUUUUAUCUCAUACCUUCUAAAUUUCCCAACUUUUCUUAUGAUCUUAUCUUAAAAAGUAGCAUAAUAAUAGCAAGCACUAGAGAUUUUUAUAAAAAUAUGUAGUGUUAGUGUUAUUUUUUUUUUCUAAUUUGUCAUUGGUUCAUGAGUAUCUAUACAGUCUAGUCUUUGUUCAAUUUGGGAGAAAUAUUAUGAGGAGGCAUAUGUUGUUAUCUUUGUAGUUGAUGCUUCUUGUCCAUCACAUUUUGAAGAUUCCAAAUCUGCCCUUGAUGAUGAUAAGAUAAAGAAAUGGCGGUAGAUGAUGAUAAGGUAAAGAGAACUCGAGAUCUGCUAUCGAGCUUCUCAGACUUCUGCUCCCACCAACACGACAUCAAGAUUCGCCACUCUCGACACUAUCAACACCACCUCCUUCGAUGUUGAUCAGUACAUGAACCUUCUUGGGUGCAUUGGUAAUUGCAGACGAAGUUCAGUUUAAAUUUGACAGGUGUCUUAGGGCUCUACACGAAACAGUGAGGGAUCUUCCAUCUUUUAUGUCUUAUUGCUUGGAUACUUCGGGAUCACAAAUCUCACUUCUCAACAUUACCACCAUACUACAAUCCUGUUGUUGCAUCUGGUCAUGCCCCUCGCCCUUAUAUGUGGGGUCCUCAACAGCAUAUGAUGCCACCAUAUGUUGCUUUCUAUCCACAUGGAGGUGUUUAUGCACAUCCUGUAGUUCAUCUUAAACAAUAUUGAUGGGAACUCACACAGGUGGAAACAGUAGCUCGUUUAUAAAACAGUGGGGAGAUUGAAGGAACGAGUGAAGGAAUUGAUGGGAAUACAAUUGAGGUAAUAAACCUAUAUGUCAUCAGCUGAAGUUGAGAAGGAUGAGCCACAAAUGAUGUCUAAAACUAAGUUAAGCAGCUGGAAAAUACCAACAUAUGUGACUGAGCAAAGAAAAAAAGCAAGAGACGUCUGGUGCAGAAAUGGGCUUAUGUGUGUAUAUUUAGUGUUUUAAGACUGUUGGUAACAGUAUAUGCCCUCCUGUUACCAAUCUGCAAGAAGUGAAGUAUAAACCAACCUUACAUACAAAUAUUUACAAGCUCAUUCUAUUUAUAAACAACUUGCUAGGACAUGAUAUAACUUUUAUCAGUCCACACCAACAAAGUUGGCUGGAGAAAACUACUUCCUCCAUUCAGGGCAGCUAAUGUUCAAGUCAUUAUUUGUCAUCUACACUCGAUGGACAACAACCAAUUUUUUGACAUGGAGGAUUUGUUUUUUACAUGAUAUCUGAAACAAGGUGUCCCUUACAUGAUAGCUAGGGAUUGUAUUUUAUGCAAUGGAUUGUAUUUUUUGUAUAUGAUUAUUUGUAUGACAUUAAAUUUUAU